AGUGAACGCUGGCGGUAGGCCUAACACAUGCAAGUCGAACGGCAGCACAGUAAGAGCUUGCUCUUACGGGUGGCGAGUGGCGGACGGGUGAGGAAUACAUCGGAAUCUACUUUUUCGUGGGGGAUAACGUAGGGAAACUUACGCUAAUACCGCAUACGACCUACGGGUGAAAGCAGGGGAUCUUCGGACCUUGCGCGAUUGAAUGAGCCGAUGUCGGAUUAGCUAGUUGGCGGGGUAAAGGCCCACCAAGGCGACGACCCGUAGCUGGUCUGAGAGGAUGAGCAGCCACACUGGAACUGAGACACGGUCCAGACUCCUACGGGAGGCAGCAGUGGGGAAUAUUGGACAAUGGGCGCAAGCCUGAUCCAGCCAUACCGCGUGGGUGAAGAAGGCCUUCGGGUUGUAAAGCCCUUUUGUUGGGAAAGAAAAGCAGCAGGUUAAGACCCCGCUGUUCUGACGGUACCCAAAGAAUAAGCACCGGCUAACUGCGU
rnacentral:rRNA from 1 species